GAUGAACGCUGGCGGCGUGCUUAACACAUGCAAGUCGAACGAAGCACUUUACUACGAUUUCUUCGGAAUGACGGUUUUGUGACUGAGUGGCGGACGGGUGAGUAACGCGUGGAUAACCUGCCUCAUACAGGGGGAUAACAGCCGGAAACGGCUGCUAAUACCGCAUAAGCGCACGGUACCGCAUGGUACAGUGUGAAAAACUCCGGUGGUAUGGGAUGGAUCCGCGUCUGAUUAGCCAGUUGGCGGGGUAACGGCCCACCAAAGCGACGAUCAGUAGCCGACCUGAGAGGGUGACCGGCCACAUUGGGACUGAGACACGGCCCAAACUCCUACGGGAGGCAGCAGUGGGGAAUAUUGCACAAUGGGGGAAACCCUGAUGCAGCGACGCCGCGUGAGCGAGAAG
rnacentral:rRNA from 1 species